rnacentral:rRNA from 1 species
AGUCGAACGAACUUCCGUUAAUUGAUUAUGACGUACUUGUACUGAUUGAGAUUUUAACACGAAGUGAGUGGCGAACGGGUGAGUAACACGUGGGUAACCUGCCCAGAAGUAGGGGAUAACACCUGGAAACAGAUGCUAAUACCGUAUAACAGAGAAAACCGCAUGGUUUUCUUUUAAAAGAUGGCUCUGCUAUCACUUCUGGAUGGACCCGCGGCGUAUUAGCUAGUUGGUGAGGUAAAGGCUCACCAAGGCAGUGAUACGUAGCCGACCUGAGAGGGUAAUCGGCCACAUUGGGACUGAGACACGGCCCAGACUCCUACGGGAGGCAGCAGUAGGGAAUCUUCCACAAUGGACGCAAGUCUGAUGGAGCAACGCCGCGUGAGUGAAGAAGGGUUUCGGCUCGUAAAGCUCUGUUGUUAAAGAAGAACGUGGGUAAGAGUAACUGUUUACCCAGUGACGGUAUUUAACCAGAAAGCCACGGCUAACUACGUGCCAGCAGCCGCGGUAAUACGUAGGUGGCAAGCGUUAUCCGGAUUUAUUGGGCGUAAAGCGAGCGCAGGCGGUCUUUUAAGUCUAAUGUGAAAGCCUUCGGCUCAACCGAAGAAGUGCAUUGGAAACUGGGAGACUUGAGUGCAGAAGAGGACAGUGGAACUCCAUGUGUAGCGGUGAAAUGCGUAGAUAUAUGGAAGAACACCAGUGGCGAAGGCGGCUGUCUGGUCUGCAACUGACGCUGAGGCUCGAAAGCAUGGGUAGCGAACAGGAUUAGAUACCCUGGUAGUCCAUGCCGUAAACGAUGAUUACUAAGUGUUGGAGGGUUUCCGCCCUUCAGUGCUGCAGCUAACGCAUUAAGUAAUCCGCCUGGGGAGUACGACCGCAAGGUUGAAACUCAAAAGAAUUGACGGGGGCCCGCACAAGCGGUGGAGCAUGUGGUUUAAUUCGAAGCUACGCGAAGAACCUUACCAGGUCUUGACAUCUUCUGACAGUCUAAGAGAUUAGAGGUUCCCUUCGGGGACAGAAUGACAGGUGGUGCAUGGUUGUCGUCAGCUCGUGUCGUGAGAUGUUGGGUUAAGUCCCGCAACGAGCGCAACCCUUAUUACUAGUUGCCAGCAUUAAGUUGGGCACUCUAGUGAGACUGCCGGUGACAAACCGGAGGAAGGUGGGGACGACGUCAAAUCAUCAUGCCCCUUAUGACCUGGGCUACACACGUGCUACAAUGGAUGGUACAACGAGUCGCGAGACCGCGAGGUUAAGCUAAUCUCUUAAAACCAUUCUCAGUUCGGACUGUAGGCUGCAACUCGCCUACACGAAGUCGGAAUCGCUAGUAAUCGCGGAUCAGCAUGCCGCGGUGAAUACGUUCCCGGGCCUUGUACACACCGCCCGUCACACCAUGAGAGUUUGUAACACCCAAAGCCGGUGGGGU